UUUGUAUGUCUGGUAGAAUUCGGCUGUGAAACCAUCUGGACCUGAACUUUUUUUGGUUGGUAGGCUAUUAAUUGCUGCCUCAACUUCAGCCCUUGUUAUUGGUCUAUUCAGGGUUUCAACUUCUUUGUGGUUUAGUCUUGGGGGAGGAUGUGUCUAGGAAUUUAUCC